rnacentral:rRNA from 1 species
GACGAACGCUGGCGGCGUGCUUAACGCAUGCAAGUCGAACGGAAAGGCCCUGCUUUUGUGGGGUGCUCGAGUGGCGAACGGGUGAGUAACACGUGAGUAACCUGCCCUUGACUUUGGGAUAACUUCAGGAAACUGGGGCUAAUACCGGAUAGGAGCUCCUGCUGCAUGGUGGGGGUUGGAAAGUUUCGGCGGUUGGGGAUGGACUCGCGGCUUAUCCGCUUGUUGGUGGGGUAGUGGCUUACCAAGGCUUUGACGGGUAGCCGGCCUGAGAGGGUGACCGGCCACAUUGGGACUGAGAUACGGCCCAAACUCCUACGGGAGGCAGCAGUGGGGAAUAUUGCACAAUGGGCGGAAGCCUGAUGCAGCAACGCCGCGUGCGGGAUGACGGCCUUCGGGUUGUAAACCGCUUUCGCCUGUGACGAAGCGUGAGUGACGGUAAUGGGUAAAGAAGCACCGGCUAACUACGUG